AAGCUACUCCCUCCGUUCCAAAUUACUCGUCGCAGAAAUGAAUGUAUCUAUAACUAAAAUACAUCUAGAUACAUCCAUUUUUGCGACGAGUAAUUCGGAACGGAGGGAGUAUGUA
rnacentral:pre_miRNA from 1 species